rnacentral:rRNA from 1 species
CGGUUGAUCCCGCCGGACCUGACUGCUAUCGGAUUGAUACUAAGCCAUGCGAGUCAUUGUAGCAAUACAAGGCAGACGGCUCAGUAACGCGUAGUCAACCUAACCUAUGGACGGGAAUAACCUCGGGAAACUGAGAAUAAUGCCCGAUAGAACACUAUAUCUGGAAUGGUUUGUGUUCCAAAUGAUUUAUCGCCGUAGGAUGGGACUGCGGCCUAUCAGUUUGUUGGUGAGGUAAUGGCCCACCAAGACUAUUACAGGUACGGGCUCUGAGAGGAGUAGCCCGGAGAUGGGUACUGAGACACGGACCCAGGCCCUAUGGGGCGCAGCAGGCGAGAAAACUUUGCAAUGUGCGAAAGCACGACAAGGUUAAUCCGAGUGGUUUGUGCUAAACGAACCUUUUGUCGGUCCUAGAAACACCGAUGAAUAAGGGGUGGGCAAGUUCUGGUGUCAGCCGCCGCGGUAAAACCAGCACCUCAAGUGGUCAGGAUGAUUAUUGGGCCUAAAGCAUCCGUAGCCGGCGCUGUAAGUUUUCGGUUAAAUCUGUACGCUCAACGUACAGGCUGCCGGGAAUACUGCAGCGCUAGGGAGUGGGAGAGGUAGACGGUACUCGGUAGGAAGGGGUAAAAUCCUUUGAUCUAUUGAUGACCACCUGUGGCGAAGGCGGUCUACCAGAACACGUCCGACGGUGAGGGAUGAAAGCUGGGGGAGCAAACCGGAUUAGAUACCCGGGUAGUCCCAGCUGUAAACUAUGCAAACUCAGUGAUGCAUUGGCUUGUGGCCAAUGCAGUGCUGCAGGGAAGCCGUUAAGUUUGCCGCCUGGGAAGUACGUACGCAAGUAUGAAACUUAAAGGAAUUGGCGGGGGAGCACCACAAGGGGUGAAGCCUGCGGUUCAAUUGGAGUCAACGCCGGGAAU